GAUGAACGCUGGCGGCGUGCCUAAUACAUGCAAGUCGAGCGAACGGACGAGAAGCUUGCUUCUCUGAUGUUAGCGGCGGACGGGGGAGUAACACGUGGAUAACCUACCUAUAAGACUGGGAUAACUUCGGGAAACCGGAGCUAAUACCGGAUAAUAUUUUGAACCGCAUGGUUCAAAAGUGAAGGACGGUCUUGCUGUCACUUAUAGAUGGAUCCGCGCUGCAUUUGCUAGUUGGUAAGGUAACGGCUUACCAAGGCAACGAUGCAUAGCCGCCCUGAGAGGGUGAUCGGCCACACUGGAACUGCGACACGGUCCAGACUCCUACGGGAGGCAGCAGUAGGGAAUCUUCCGCAAUGGGCGAAAGCCUGACGGAGCAACGCCGCGUGAGUGAUGAAGGUCUUCGGAUCGUAAAACUCUGUUAUUAGGGAAGAACAUAUGUGUAAGUAACUGUGCACAUCUUGACGGUACCUAAUCAGAAAGCCACGGCUAACUACGUG
rnacentral:rRNA from 1 species